GGGAAUAUGCCCUAGAGUUUGGAAUAACCACGGGAAACUGUGGCUAAUACCAAAUAUGUCGAGAGAUGAAAGAUUUAUCGCUCUAGGAUUAGCCCGCGUUGGAUUAGCUAGUUGGUGGGGUAAUGGCCUACCAAGGCGACGAUCCAUAGCUGGUUUGAGAGGAUGAUCAGCCACACUGGGACUGAGACACGGCCCAGACUCCUACGGGAGGCAGCAGUAAGGAAUAUUGGACAAUGGGCGCAAGCCUGAUCCAGCCAUGCCGCGUGAGUGAUGAAGGCCUUCGGGUUGUAAAGCUCUUUUGGCGGGGAAGAUAAUGACUGUACCCGCAGAAUAAGCUCCGGCUAACUUCGUGCCAGCAGCCGCGGUAAUACGAAGGGGGCGAGCGUUGUUCGGAAUUACUGGGCGUAAAGCGUGCGUAGGCGGUUUGAUAAGUUUGAUGUGAAAGCCCAGGGCUCAACCUUGGAACUGCAUUGAAUACUAUCAGACUAGAGUGGUGGAGAGGAAAGCAGAAUUCCCAGU
rnacentral:rRNA from 1 species